GACGAACCGAGCGAACGUUGUUCGGAAUCACUGGGCUUAAAGGGCGCGUAGGCGGGCUGCCGCGUCCGGGGUGAAAUCCUCCGGCUCAACCGGGGAAGGGCCUCGGGUACGGGCGGGCUCGAGGGGGGUAGGGGCGUGCGGAACUGUGGGUGGAGCGGUGAAAUGCGUAGAUAUCAAGAGGAACACCUGAGGUGAAGACGGGUUGCUGGGCCGACACUGACGCUGACAGCGCGAAAGCCAGGGGAGCAAACGGG
rnacentral:rRNA from 1 species